CUAUCUGCAGUCGAGCGACAGACGAGGAGCUUGCUCCUCUGACGUUAGCGGCGGACGGGUGAGUAACACGUGGAUAACCUACCUAUAAGACUGGGAUAACUUCGGGAAACCGGAGCUAAUACCGGAUAAUAUAUUGAACCGCAUGGUUCAAUAGUGAAAGACGGUUUUGCUGUCACUUAUAGAUGGAUCCGCGCCGCAUUAGCUAGUUGGUAAGGUAACGGCCUACCAAGGCAACGAUGCGUAGCCGACCUGAGAGGGUGAUCGGCCACACUGGAACUGAGACACGGUCCAGACCCCUACGGGAGGCAGCAGUAGGGAAUCUUCCGCAAUGGGCGAAAGCCUGACGGAGCAACGCCGCGUGAAUGAUGAAGGUCUUCGGAUCGUAAAACUCUGUUAUUAGGGAAGAACAAAUGUGUAAGUAACUAUGCACGUCUUGACGGUACCUAAUCAGAAAGCCACGGCUAACUACGUGC
rnacentral:rRNA from 1 species